rnacentral:lncRNA from 1 species
UUGGGCCACAGUUUUCAUCUUGAAAGACCUUGACCUUCUUUCGACACUCCAAAUUAUAUUUGACAUCGUUUUAUCAUCUUGAUUCUUUGUGACGUUCCAUAACUGUAAGAGAAUUUGUUGUAAAAACAUGGCUUUUAAAUUAUGCUUCAGAAGUUUAUUACUGGAGAAAAACAUUACUUCCAACCUCCAAGCUGAAAAACGAGGCUAAUGUUGAAGAAUAAAGCUGGAGUUCCUCUUAUUUCCCCUUGAGGCUGGUUAAAACAAGGCAACCCAAUACAGAAUCACAUGUUAAAAUACAGCAAGAGAAUGCUUUCCCCAUCACAACAUCUCUACAGGAAGUGAUUUAGUUGUAUCCAAAUAAUAGUAUCGUUACCAACUCUGCUAUCGGCAUCGGGUCUAUACUAGCAUGAUACUUUGUUUUUAUCCCUAAGGUUCAGUAUGGAGCAAAUUGUGUUAAAUAAAUGUUUUUGGAAAUGAAAAAAUAUACCUUAAACAUGCCUGUGAAAAACGAUGAAACCUUUUAUUCAUAGCCUGUAGCACAUUUCAAAAACAGAAGUUGACCCAAAUGCUUUAAAUGCAGACACACUUACGUUCCAGGUCUUCAAAAAAAUUGCAAUUCUGAUUCUUCUCAUAGCUCAUGACACACUGCUCCCCUGCAGCUUCCCCUACAGGUUAAAACUAUCGGCAGUACUGGCCAAAAUUGACCAAAAUUUGCAGUAUUGCAGAUCAGCACUAGAGUUUGGGGAGGGGCCACUUUGAUUGACUUACCUGUCAAUCAGUCAAAGAGACCCAGAGAUGAGGCAAAGCUCAGGUGAACAACAGGAUCUCCUUGCAGAUCCCGUAGGACUCCUUUGGCUGUCGUCCCAUCAGAACUCCUCUCUUCAAGGAGAGACGGCUCGAUGGUGCUCAGAUGGAGAGAGCGCUGUCAGAGGAGUGGCAUGUGACUAAUCAGGUCUGGGCUCGGCUCCCUGCUUCCCAAACCCUAUUCUGCUGAUUCAAAAGGCCACUGAGACUCCGUGGUAAUGGGAAAGCAUGAUGGGAAUCAGAGAAAGUCGAGAAGUAUCGCAGCUGAUGUAGCUUUCCUUGGCGUCUGACAUAAUAUGGGGUAAUAUAUCAGGAGAGCUGUUGAUAGUCAUUAUGGGAUUCAUUAUAUGAUGUGCAUAAACAACUGAUUCAUUCACCCUGGUGUGAAAAUUCAGCAAGAAACCAAGUUACAGAUCAAAUACAGGUUAUUCACAGCCUGUGUUGCUGCUGUUGUUGCCGUCUGCCAUAUGCUACCCAUCUCCCUGCGUCUAUCUUUUUCUCACUCCCUUUUUUUAUCUCUUCCUUUUCUUUCCCUCCCUCUCUCCGGUCAUUCUCUGCUGUGCUC